AGUGAACGCUGGCGGCGUGCUUAACACAUGCAAGUCGAACGAGAACGGGCUAUAGCUUGCUAUAGUUGUCAGCUAAAUGGCGCACGGGUGAGUAAUGUAUAGGUAAUAUGCCUCUUACUAAGGGAUAACAAAUGGAAACGUUUGCUAAUACCUUAUACUCCUUAUUAACAGAAGUUAAUAAGGGAAAGAUUUAUUGGUAGAGAUUAGCCUGUAUUGUAUCAGUUAGUUGGUGGGGUAAUGGCUUACCAAGACUAUGACACAUAACUGGUUUGAGAGGAUGAGCAGUCACACUGGAACUGAGACACGGUCCAGACUCCUACGGGAGGCAGCAGUGGGGAAUAUUGCACAAUGGACGAAAGUCUGAUGCAGCAACGCCGCGUGGAGGAUGACACAUUUCGGUGCGUAAACUCCUUUUAUAUGAGAAGAUAAUGACGGUAUUAUAUGAAUAAGCACCGGCUAACUCCGUGCCAGCCGCCGCCGUAA
rnacentral:rRNA from 1 species